rnacentral:lncRNA from 1 species
AUAAAAGGACGUGAAAGGACAAACAUUGCAUGAUUCCACUUAUAUGAGGUCCUCAGUCAAAUUCACAGAGACAGAAAGUAUAAUGGUGGUUUCCAAGGCUGGGUUGAGGGUGGCCGGAGCAUUAGUGUGUGACGGGUACAGAGUUUCAGUUGAGGAAGACAAAAAAGCUGUGGAGAUGGAUGGUAGUGGUGGUUGCGCUACAAUGUGAAUGUACUUAAUGCCACAAAACUAUACAUUUUGAAACGGCUAAAAUGGUAAAUUUAUGUAAUGUACAUUUAACCACAAUAAAAGGAAACAUUUACAGUAAAUAUUAUGUCUCUUGAAAGUGAUCAUAAUUAAAACUUAGGCUAGGAUUUUUUUUAAAGCAGAGAGGAAUAAGAAAUUCAUAAAAUCCACACAUAAAGAGGAGAUACAUUCACUGGCCCCAAACCCCAAUGAAAUGUAAUGAUGGGUUCACUGAAAUAUAGGAAAGUGAAAGUUAAAUCUUUUGAUAUUAAAUUAUUUAAGUAAGUAACCUUACCUAAUACAGCAGCACCCUCAGUAAAAAUGUGUGAUUAGAGAUCACUCAAGAAGGGCCCCUGAGCCCAGCCCUGGGGAUAAACCACUUCCACUGUGGGGGAUGUUGCUCCUCAGGGUUGCCCAUGUUUCCCUGCUCCUCAGCAGAGCCUGCCAACAGCGUCCAAGCAAAUGAGGACUGGCUAGCCCUGGGAGGCUCAACUAGCCUUAUCACUGGGUCACAACUUGUUUUCUCACUUCCAUCAUUUUCUCAGUCAUCCAACUAAUGUUUUCAGACAUCAGUUGUUUCUGAGCACUGUAUACGGCUUUCGAAAUAAAGAAGGAAGGAGAGAGAGAAGGAUGGAGACCCUUGGGAAGGAAGCAGAGAAGCUAACUCUUUUUUUGAGCACUUGCAAUGCGCCAAGCACAGCUCUGAGCUUUUUACAAGCGUUAUCCUCUGUGCCCCUCACAUAAGCUCUAUGGGGUAGAUACUAACAUGCCCCCCGGUUUUUUUUUUCUUUUUUUUUUUUAGUGGAAACAUGAAGUUUUAUGAGAGAGAGAAGAAACCUUUGGUGGUGCACAGGGAUUUGAAUUCAGACUCUCCACAGCACCGGACAAUUGCGCAGUGUUGAAGUCUCAUGCUGGUCUGUAAAGCCAGGCCAGAAGAGGAACUGGGAAUAAUUAGGAUGGGAGAUUACAUCCAACUUACAGUUUGUGGAUUCUACCCCUGAAUUCUAUCCACAAAACCCUCAAGAUUCAAGAACCCUUGAUGCUGUCAUAUGGCCCCAGGAGUCAUCAGAUAUAAGCACCCUAAGAAGCUGUCCAGGGGUAGCAGGGAGACUCUGUCUUCAGUGAAGGAGGACACUUAAGGCUGAAGUGGCCCCAAGAACCACCCUCAUCAUCUGUCAAGCCCAGAUAUAACCAUUCUGUAUCCUCAGACCUCAAAGCCUUAAAGACUCUGUCUACCACGUACACCACCCACUUCAGCUAAACCUUUCACACUUGCACAGUCCACGCCAGCAUCUCAGCAUCCUGAGGGUGAGUUCUUCCUGGAGAUCUGACAAGGGUAGGAAACAGAGCUCACCCACUCCUGCUGGACCCCAGCAUCUGCGGGCAGGGAGAGGGAAGUUGAUUUCACCCAGACCUUCACAACAGAGUUAAGCCUUCCCAGUCCAUCAGACCAUCGGUCACUCUCCCAGGACUCUUUUCUCACCUCUGUUACUGCACUUUUAGACCCUAUUUGAUUCUCCCAGGUCAGGUCUGCUUCCCUUGAAAGCAGGGGCCAUGUCUUAUUCACCUCAGCAUCCUCAGCUCCCAGCCCACCCAGGACCCAGCACCUAGUAGGUGCUCAGUAAAUGUCUGCUACAUGAAAAGCAGGAGAGAGGGGCCAGAGACUGAGCCUGGCAGGUCCCUCCUGGCAGUUGCUUUACAGCUGCUGUGACUGCCCAACCAGCCCCAGACCGAUAAAGACCCUGAACUUAUCAAGUGACAAAUGCAGAAGGGCUUUCCUUCUCAAUGUGUGUCUCAGAGCCCAAAACAUCUAGCAGUGCCAUGAAGAGGGACGAUUAGCAAGAUAGAAACCAACUGUCCCCCGAGUCUCUCUUCACCAAAUGCAGACAUUGAUGUGAAUGACAGUAGGAAGCACGGGUGAUACUCAAGAUAUUUAACAACCAGCAUAACACAUUGCGAAUCAGGGCAGGCACCAGCCACGAACACCAAGUACAGUCGUACCAGGAAUACCAGUCAGAUAGGGAGAUAAUAACUUUGCUAGGAGGAAGACAGACUAACGCAAGGAAGCCAGACUCCCUUAGCUUAUUUGUCUGCAUAGACUCUAUAAUGUCAGUAUUUAAUCUGAUUAAGGCAUUAACCAGCAGUCUGACCUUGUGCCAGUCACAUAUUCUCUCUGGGCUUCAGUUCCCGCUCUAAGAUGAAAUUGAAAGAAAUUAUCCAAGCUGUUGUUACAACUAUAAUGUCCUAUGAUCCCAUCUUCUCACACAUCACAGGUGGCACCCAGUAACAAAGAAAAUCAGCAAAGCACACAGCUGGCUAAGGUGAUGCACAGACCAGAAACCCUUGACAAGGACAACCGUGACAUUCGUUGAGCCAUAGCAUCUGGUACUGCAGUUUGGGAUAUGGCAGAUCAAAGCCCAGAAACCUCCUUCCAACCCCUUCUGAGGAAUCCUAGAGAUCUCCAGAAGCACCCUGUCAGUUGGUAAAAGACUCCAGACAUAAAGGACUUGGUAAAGAGCCACACCCAGCUCCCUUCCUCCUCCGUGUAAACCCUCAGCCUGCUUUUCACUAGACCCACUGCCCAGCUUUGUGCAAAACCUGGACACUGCUCAUCUCUGUGGCUGGGUGAGUGCCACCUCCUGGGGAGUAUGAGAGAAUAAAGAACAAGAGGAGCAGAAGCAAGAAGACCUUAUUUCAAGGCCCAGCCCUGCUACUCACCCACUUGACAAGGUGCUUUACGUUUCCUAGUCGGUGAGAAGGGACAUUAGCUGCUCUAACCUCCUCAGGGUUGGGGAGGUUGGGGUGGGGGGAGGCUAAAACGAGCAUCAGAGGAGAAUGCUGAAGGUUAAUGUUUUCAUUAUAGAGUCUUUGGAGAUGGAAAUAGACAUGUACCUGGAUUUGGGGGCUUGGAGGCUUGCCUUGCCCCUCCCUGCUUUCCCUGUGCAUCCCCACCCCAGGCUGCCCGGAGGCGUCCCCUCUGAGAUCAAAUCCAGCCAGCCCUACUGUGCCUCCCUGUCUCAGCUGUGCGGUCCCAGGGGCAGGGGCUGCAGAGUUCUUUGUUGUGUUCCCCAAAGAUCCCUCGGGGUAGGAAAGAGGCAAGGGAGAAGCCCAAGGUCCCAGCCUGCUGCCUCAGGGUGGGACAAGCAGGACAGGAACACAGCCAAAGCCAGAGGGAAAUCAUCGCAUCUUCCCCAGUCAUUAGUGUGAGCAGCAGCGGCACGACUGUUCCUACACUCAGGAGAGCAUGGCAGCGUCACGAAUAAACAGUAGAGACGAGGGCAUCAUUAAAACCCAUAUUUGCAUUUUCCCUGCGUUUGCUAUAUCCUUUCCUAGGAACACAAGCAACCAUCCCACUCCAGAGGAGAAAAUAGCCUCAUUUUAUAAUGGAGUCAAUGGGGGCCUGGAGAUCCCCAUCCCAUAGAAAUACACCACGCCCCGAUCCAGCACCAGCAGCCUGCCCUCUGUGGAUGUCCAAGACGGAGCAACGGGCAGGAAGGCCUCCAGGGGACGCUGUCACCCUAGAAAACCAAACAGCAAGGUUUUCCUAAGGAUUCUAAGCCCUAGUUUCCCCAGCAAAGCAAAACCAAGCCAGACUUGAGAAUUAUAAGAGGAGAACUGCUUCAAGACAAGUUUUAUAUAGGUAAGAGUGAGGAAGACAGCGGCAAGUCUGAGUGUUCGCCCUGUGAGGUGAUGGACUGAUCUGGGUCCCAAAAAAUGGUCACCCAGGGCCAACCUGUGCUUCAGAGGCCACAGAGCAGCCUCCAGGGAGGGCAAAAAGCCCAGAGUCCAGUGGGCUCACGGCCCUGGCGCCACACGCUCCUUCUGGAAAGGAAGAAUAGGUACUCCGUAAAUCAGUCCCGCUUUGAAUACGUAACUGCUGACCUCUGCAGAGAAUCUCUGUGAAUUCUGGGGAGGGAGGAAGAGAAAACUACUAUAAAGUGCUUGGUUGGUUCUCCUCGGGAUGACAAGGAUCCCAGAAGCUCCAAAGCUCAGACAGGGUCCAAAUCCCAGCAGGACCCCUUAGUGGCAGCGUGACCUUGGCCAAGCCACUUGGCCUGUCUCCUCCAAGAUGGGAAUAACAGCCCCUUGCAGGGUAUUCAUGAAGACUAAAUGAGCACAAGUGAAAGCAAAACCACACGUGAUGAGGCUCACAAAAGGCACUCAGAAAAGUCCGUUUUCUUCCUUAAAACCAUAGAUUAAAUCUCACUCUAAAGACAGAAUUUCUGAAAGUCACCCCGACCUCUUCCUGAAAAGGAGGUGGAAAGUGGGAUGGCGACAGAGCCUGAGAAACAGUGGCAGCUGGUUUUAAGAAAGUGAAGCCUUUGGGACGCCGAGACAGGCGGAUCACACAGUCAGGAGUUGGAGACCAGCCUCAGCAACAUGGUGAA